GAGUUCUUCCUGCAGGGGGCGCCUGAGACGCGACUGGGAAGACUGGCUUCCAGGGUCAGGGCAGCUGGCACGGCAGGCUCCUGGGGAGGCAGGAGGCUCCUCCAGUACCAACCAGGCUGUGACACAGCUUCUCGGGGAACCGGGCUGUUGUGAGGCAGUGUGUAGUAAUACAUCAGCGUCUUCUCCCAUGGCAGCAAUCUGUGCACAGCACUCCCAGACCCCCCAGGGGGCGUAUUUCCAGGAACUCCCAGAGGGCGCUUUCUAGAAAGUUCCACCUGAGAGGCGUUACUGCCGUUGUGUGAGGUGCUCGACGGGCUCCUGGAACAAGGAAAUGAUGACUGAUAAAGCAGAGGAGUCUGCUGUUGUGCCCCCAAAGCCAAAAGAAACAUC